UUAGACUCCAGUGACAUUAACAGACUUGAGAAAUAUUGAGGUAGUGGAUAUGACAGAACCUGGUUAAAUUUGAUGUGGAGGGGUGAGGGCGAAUGUGGCUUAGAAUCCCAGUGUGAACAUAACCUGAACCGAAUGGACAGAUGCCAUUGUGGGAGGCUAGAGGAAUAACAGACAUGUGAGUGAGGUGCAAGGGGAAUGAGAGAUGUUAAUUAAUUCACCUUGAAAUCUGUAGGUUUUGGAAUUCCUAUUGGACCAUUCAAAAGGAUGCCAGAGGGCAGUCGGGUAUAUAUGAGUUUGCAUUUCAGCAGUGGCCUGGGCCAGAGAAAUAAAUUUGGGACUCGACAGCUUAUGUAUGAAAUUUAAAGAGUUGGACAGGGAGGAAAUGUCAGGGGGAAAGGUCAGAUUGAAAGAAUGCAGUUCAGGUCAGAACAGCACCACAUGCAGAGAUGAGACAAGAGAACGUGGAGUCUUAGAAGCCUUUGGCAGCGCCUAGGAGAGAAACCAGAAAAAAACGCUUCAAGGAGACUAACUGACACAUACUCAAUGGUAAUGGGCUCACAGCAAAGUGUCCAUUGGAGUUCCAAGGAGGGCUCCGGUGACCUUGCUUGGAAGCUUCGGUGGAUGUCAGAGACAGAAUGGAGUGGAUUUUAAAAGGAAUGGGAAGUUAAGGGCUCAGAAUGCAACAGACAAACAGGACUCGGAAGAAGCUGGAAAUAACCUCUGAACUGGAGAGGGAAAACUGCUCCUAAGGAGCACUCUAGUUGCUGCUAGGCCUCUCUGUCAGGCUGAGAUGGGAACCCCGCCGGUCCCAGGGCACACCCCUCGGUCGCGGAGGACAACAGAAUGCAGCUUGACAGAUCCCAGGCCUGGGGCUCUAGGCUGAAAUCGCGAGGCCUGGCUCCUACCCUGAUCCAAGUCCCCUUCCCAGGAUUAGACUUCCCCUCCCCCACUCUUCUACCAUCCCUCGCUCCCCCUCCUCUCCUCCCCAUACCUCCCUCCCGCCGGGCAUCCUAAGGAUCAAGAAGCAAAGCUAUGGGGAGCGGUCGGUGUUAGACCAAAGUGAAUCCUGCGGAGGGUGAUUUUACAGGCCCACGAUCUUGAAUUAGCUCUUCUCAUGCCCUCCUGAUCAUCUAUGCUGUGAAGAGUUAGAAGAACAAGACACCCCUUCGUACCCAAAGGUGCCUCACCUGAUGUGACGUAGAGCUUGGAAGAACCAGGGCAGGAAAAGGCUGCAUCUAUGGUAUCAAGGCUGAUCCCGGGAGGGCUCCCAAGUUCCUUCUCCAGCCGCUUUGGAUAACCACUUACUAGGUUAUUGCCCCCCUUCGUCAGGAAGACAUAUACUUGAGUGCCCUAGGGAACAAAGGAGAGUAAUCAACAUAGACCCAUAGCCAUGUCCCUAUUUCCAUCUUAAGCCUUUCUCCCAAUACAAACCUGGAUCAGAUAGACUUUCUCAUCCCAGGAAAAGGCAGCAUCUACUGCUGAAGGACCCUGGGGCCAGUGAUGAGCAAUGGGCCAGCUAUGCCACCCAUCACGGCUGGAGUCCAGACGCCAGUAGUGGGAGCCUGUGGGACAUCAGAGGUAGUGCCAGUGUGGGUGGUAGAGACUUUCAUAGUGAAAGGACAGAAAUGGAGGUAGGUUUGAGUCAUAAGAGGGAUGGAUGUAUCCAGGGGGCCAAGAAGGAAGAGGUAGAGUGAAAAGAGAGCCAUUGGUGCUGGAGCCAGCAGGAACCUGACAGUGAGGGAAUCAUACAGGACAGCAGACCAGGCUCUGCAACUGUGGUGGUGUAUGCGAGUAAGGCAUAGGCACACGUGUAUGGAGGAGGACACAUGCAUGGGUGCAGAGGACACAGGAAGGUGUCAGCUGUCCUGUUCUAGCACCGUCUGCCCAAUUCUCUUGAAAACCAGAUCUCUCACUGACUUUAGAACUAGGCUGGCAACCAACAAGUCCCAUGAUCCUCUCUGUCUCUGUUCCCCUACAGCAAUGGCGUUACAGGAGUGCAUCCUGGUUUACCUGGCUUUUUAAAUGGAUCCUGGAGAAUCCAAACUCAGAUCCUCAUACUUGAGCAGGUAGCACACUAACUUGCUGAGCCACGUCUCCAAUCUCUAUAUUAUGAUAAUAACUUUCUAAAAGAAGACAGCUACAGUGUACUCAUAUACCCAAAGUAAAUAAAUCUUAAAAAUAAGUUAAGACUCCAAUUUCCCUCUCUUUCCCUCAUUGAUCUGUAACUACACUUGUGUUUCUAUCCUUCACUGAAACCGUUCCUACCAAAAUGAGCGCUAUCCUUCCCAUCUAAUGGGUAGCUUCUAUCCCCAGGCUCUUGGCAGCAUUCAAGUGCUCACUACUCCUUUUUCCUUUGAGACAGGGUCUCAGAUCUCAUGUAUGCUAUACAGUUGUGGGUGGCCUUCAGGAACUUCUGAUUCUCAGCCUUCAUCUGCCAUGGCCAAUUUAUAUGGUGCUAAGGAUCUAGUCUAGAGCUUUGUGCAUGGUAAGCAGUCUCUACCAGCUGAGCGAAGCCUCUAACCAUUCCUUCUUCAUUGAACUUUCAAAAAAAAAAAUCUUGGCUCCUAUGAUCCUAGACUUAUCCAAUGCACUACUUACCUUUUGGUCUUUUAUCUAAAGGAUCAGAAUCCCUAUUCUGUCCUCUUUUCUUCUCUAAAUGCCCUUAACUCCUUUGGUGUUCUCACAAAUAUGCCGAGGACACCUGUGAACUCUUUGUCUCAGACUGACCUCUCUUUUGAACUUUAGGCUCAAAUUCGAUUGUCUUUCUGACACAUUCAUUAAGUCCUAUUUGAUACCCCAAACCUAGCAUGUUCCAAUUGAUCUCUCUGCUUCCAUCACUCUCUGUCUAUGACUCUCUAUGACUGCCUCUCUGUCUGUGUCUGUGUCUGUCUGUCUGUCUGUCUCUCUCUCUCUCUCUCUCUCUCUCACACACACACACACACACACACACACACAGACACACACACAUGCACACACGCUUGUCUGUGGUUCUCCCCAAUGAUCCUACAGGAGACGCAUAUUCUCCUGACUUUUACAUGUUCUUACUAUGACAUAUAAUCAGCUCAGGUCUCUAUUGUCACAAUAUGUAUGUUUCAUUGCAGCUAUAUGUUUUCAUUAAGGUGUGCAUUCAUGCUGAGCUACAUUCCAUGUAGUUGUAUACUUUUCAAUGGAAGUUGUUAAUCACAACAUAUCCUAUUUGCUUGGAAGUUAGGAACUAAGAGAGUAGUCCUAUUUUUCUGUGCCCUUGCCAUUUAGGUCAUUUUUGCUGAGUAUAUAUCAGGUUGAAUGUAGUGUGGUUGUUCCCUCCCCAUUUUGGAGAUGUCCUCAGUGUAGAAAAUACCAGUUACCUCCAGCCUGAGGAAUUAUAUGUCCCCAGUUAUCAUGAGAUGGAUUUAUCAACUGAUAACAAAAGUCAAGGUUGGAUCUCUUCCUUGGACUCUCUUUGAAGUUACAUCAUAAGGAUCUAGAGUACUCAAUGUUUCUAUUCUGUUUCUUGGCAGUAGGGACAUUUCAUCCCCAAGUGACACUGAGUCCAGAGGCCUGGAUGUAACAGGAAACUACCUUGGAAAAAUGGGGUUCCUGAAAUAAAUUAAGGUUAGCCAAUGUAGUUUUAAAAAGGCACGUGUGAGAGCAAAUGACACAAGGAGGCAAAGAUACACCAGGAGAUCCAGAAGCAAGCCAAGAGCCAAGAGUCUUAGCAAACCAUGCGAGAGCAAGGGAUAUGACCAGGCAUGGACACACAGAGAGAUCCAAGGAGCAAGUGACAGUCAGAGGACUCAGCAGAGCAAGGGAAACAUGAGAAAUUACUGGGAGUAGAGGAGUCCCACAGAAUACACAGACAGGGGAGGAGAUGACACUGAGAAGCAGACAGGUAGAAGACAUGGAAGGAAGGCCUGAGCAAUGAGAGGUAAGUGAACUACGCAUCUGAGGAGAUGAGGGAUGUAAGUGGAGGUGAGGAACAAAUGAUAGGACAUGGUACUGAAAGUGGGCAGGCUGUGUCAGAGAGAACAGGCACAAGUGAAAGAGACAGGAAGGUAGACAAGGGGAGUCUGGGGGCGGCCUCUCACCACUGAAGGCAUAGGUGGCACCUCGAUGGUCAGACAGCAGUGCAGACAGGCCAGGAUCUGCGUUACAACGCGAAUGCAUAGGAUGGGUGCUAUUCCCAUGAGCAGUUCCAUUUCUUAGUUUACCAUGGCCUGGAAGAAAAACAGGUAAUGGGAACAUGAAGACACACACACACACACACACACACACACGGCGGGGGGCAGGGGAACUGGGGUCAGAGUAGCAUCUGAAAAUGAAGAGAUAGCUAACAUUAGGAGGAAUGUGGACUUCCCCUGUUUGAGGAUAAUGGGAAGAAUCCCACCUAAGACGAGCACAAAAGUAAGGUGGGAGAUCAUAUGAAGCCAGCAAACUCAGCACAGAUAAAUUCCAGUAGAUCCCAGGGGUUGGGGCCUUUUUACCUCUGCCAGGGCAGGAUAUGAAGUAGUCACGGGCAUCCAGAGGGUAUCUGGGAGGCACCUCUCCUGUGACGGGGUUAAAUCUCAGGAACUUGUUACCCUGGAAGCAGUAGUAGCGUUCAAGCCACCUCAAGGCCGCAGUGCAAUUCCCAACAGCAGGCCAGGAACGUUCCUUUUGGGUUCUUGUGGCAAAGUCCCAGAACCACUUGCGGUUACCUAUGGCCAAGAAAUCAAAAAUCAUUGUGAAGCUGGGCCAUGCACACCUUGAGUUUGCACUGGGGCCCAGGAAUAGGUUGGAUACAGGGGAUGACUACAUGGAGUGAACAAACAUAGCAGGGAGCAGUUGAAUACAUGGACCAUGCAUCAAAAGCCAGCAGCAAGGUGCACAUGACCAACCCAGUGAUAGGAAGAGUAGAGGGAAGUCAGAGAAAGAAGAAACGAACUGAAACCUGAGGUAGGCAUUAUAUGGCAGACCAGAAAGGAAGCUGAAGACAAAUCUGGCAUGCAGGGGAUAGUGUGGAGUUUCUGGAGCCAAGACAGGGGAUGUUGGCAGGUCAAUAGGGAUUUGGUCCUCGUAAGACCAGAAGGCCAAGGAACACAGGUCUGUCCCAGGCCACAAGGAAUGAAGGAGAAUGUGAACCAAGUCCCUCCACUAGAAUGACUCCUACUCCUUAGUCUGUUUGACCUCUAGCCAUUUUCUUUCCUUAUAAAGCCAACAGGGCUCUUCAGCCCACCAUGAGCACCGUGACUCCAUCUCUGUGCUUGGUUUCCUGUGUGGACACACCUUGGAAGAAGAGGACACCUUCACUCUGGCAUUCUCCACGGUGGCAUUCCACAGCUGCGUCUGGUGGGUAUGGGAUUCCAGGAAACUCUUCUUGGAACAACUUUGGAUACCCGUUCUCUUUCUUUUCAGGAGGAUACACCCAGACUUUGUCUUCCUGCAUCCAGAAAACACUGUCUUGGAAACUGUUCACCCCCAGAUGCACUGCAUACACAUGUACUCUUGCUCUAUUGCACUUGCACAGUAUCUCCUUACAGCAUCGUGCAUUUUCAGUCCGCAGGUGGACACGUUGCCCCUUGUACAUACUUACUCUCAGCAAAAAAGCCACCUCACUAAGAAUGCACACACACCUGCCUAUGUAUAACCAGGCACUCCUGUGGCACACUUAAUUAUAGCUCUCUUAGUUUUGAGAAGCACACCCACAAGUAGGUAUCCUAUAGGCACUCGCCCAUUCAUACACUCAUUUGCCCUUUUAUUUUAUAUGGAUUCCAUUCAAGAAACACGUGCUGAAGGAUUCUCACAGGCUGGGCACUAUGAGACGAAGCACUGAGCAUCCAGAGAUGACAAGAUCCCUCGAAAACAACUAACUGCUACACUUCCAGCCAUUCAGCCACCAAGAUGGAAAAGCAUAUCGAAAAAGUGUAAAGCCAAAGGUCAGGAGGGCGAUCCAAAUCUGAUAUCCAGAGCACAAGGCCCUCAAAGCUAUGGCAGUGGCUGGAAUCACCCAGGGAGGGUACACAAAACAGUCUCAGAGUGGCUCCCCAAGCAGCAGACAUUUUGGGGUUGUUUGUGCUAGCCAACUUUAUGUCAGCCUUACACAAACUAGAAUCACAGUGAAGGAGGGACCCUCAACUGAGAAAAUGCUUCCAUUAGUUCUGGCUGUAGGCAAGCCUGUAAGGCAUUUUCUUAAUUGAUGGUAGACGGCACAGCGCAUUGCGGGUGGUGCUAUCCUAGGCUGGUGGUCCUGGGUUCUGUAAGAAAGCAUGCUUAGCAUGCCAUGGGGAGCAAGCCAGUCAGCAGCACUCCUCCACGGCUCUGCAUCAGCUCCUGCCUCCAGGUUCCUGGCCUGUAUGAGUUCCUGUCCUCACUCCCUUUGAUGAUGAACAGUUACAUGUAAGACAAAUAAAUCCUUUCUUCCCGAGUUGUUUUUGGUCAUGGUGUUUCACCACAGCAAUAUAACAGGUAUACUUGUCAGGAAGAGGGUGUGGAAAGAGGCAGGAGAGGCAAUGAAGCUGUUAGUGACAUCCCAACCAGACACACCCUCUGGCAAGUUAGAAGUUAUCUCUUCCUUUGAGCAGUUUGGGCCAGGGCCUGGGACUUUAGGAACAACCUGCCUCACAUAUGAACAAGGUCAGAUACAGGGGUUUAGUAGCCAAGGAAAGAAACUGCAGUUAGGAAUAGUAAAGCCAGCUAGAACUAGAUUAGGAAUGAAAAACAGUUAUUGGAUAUUGGCUUUUCCUGCCAACACAAGUGCACCCCUCUCUCUCUCUCUCUCUCUCUCUCUCUCUCUCUCUCUCUCACUCACACACACACACACACACACACACACACACACAGAGGAAGUGGGUGGGAAGACUGCUUUUUCAGGAGAGUAAGGCACACAGGAAGGAAACUUUGCA